rnacentral:lncRNA from 1 species
ACAGAAGAUGUAGACACAGGAGAGGAGAAUGCUAUGUGAAGAUGGAGGCAGAGAAUGGAGCAAUGCAGCUACAAAUCAAAGAAUCCCAAAGAUUUCUGGCAACCACUAGAAGCUGGAAGAGAGGCAUGGAAUAGAUCCUUCUUCAGAAGCUUCAGAAGGAACCAACCCUACUGACACCUUGAUUUCAGACUUUUAGUGUCCAGAACUGCACUUCUACAAGACAAAGGAAACCAUGAACAAAACUAAAAGACAACCCACCAACUUGGAGAAAAUAUUUGCAAAUCACAUAUCUGACGAGGAUUAAUUUCCAAAAUAUAUAAAGGACUCAUACAACUCAACAAAAACCAAAUGAACAAUCUGAUUAAAAAAAUGGGCAGAAGAUACAAACAGAUAUUUUUCCAAAGAAGAUAUACAUAAGGCCAGCAGGCACAUGAAAAGAUGUUCAACAUCACCAAUUAUUACGGAAAUGAAAAUCAAAAUUGCAAUGAGAUAUCACCUUAUAUCUGUCAGAAUGGCUAUAAUUAACAAGACAAGAAAUAACGAAUUUGGAGAGAAUGUGGAGAAAAGGGUCCCCUCACUGCUAAUGGGAAUGCAACCUGGUGCAGCCACUAUGGAAAACAGUAUGGAGAUUCUUUAAAAAAUUAAUAUUAGAAAUACAUGAUGCAGCUAUCCCACUAGUGGGUAUUUGUCCAAAGAACAUAAAAUGAACAAUUCAAAGAGAUUUAUGCAUCCUUAUGUUCAUUGCAUAAUUAUUCACAAUUGCCAAGAUGUGGAAGCAACACUGGUGCCCAUCAACAGACAAAUGGAUAAAGAAGUAGUGGUAUCUAUACACGGUAGAAUACUACUAAGCCAUAAAAAGACAAAAUUGUGCUAUUUGCAACAACUUGAAUGGACUUUGAGAGUAUUAUGCUAAGCAAAAUAAGCCAGACAGAGAAAGACAAACACUGUAUGAUUUCACUUAUAUGUGGAAGAUAAACACAGGGAUAAGGAGUUACGAGAGGG